GCGGCCGUGCGCGGGGCGCCGCGGCGGGCCGAGCUAUGUGCCCCUCGCGUAGGCGCCCAUCAUGUACACAGUCGUGGGUUCGGAGCGUCCCCGCGGGCGCUUAAAGCGACUGUGGGCAUGCGGUGAGAGGUGCAAUGGAGGCGCGCUCCGAUGGCGUCUCCAAGCCGAGGUCAUUGGCACUCGAGAAGAUGGAGACUCUGGUCAGACGAAUGCAGAGCGCUGAUGCCGGCGUGCCGGUGAGAUGUCAGAAGCUCUUUUUGACCACCAUCCCAUCGGCCUUCAUGGGGUACGACCUCAUCGAAUGGCUGAUGGAGAAUCUUCCCAUAGACGACUCUGGUAAGUA